UGUGAAAGCACAAAGGUCAGAAAGAGCUGUUCUCUGUCUUGAAAUAAAGAAACUACAGGCGGCACUGCUUGGUGGCUGAGUAACACAACACGGGCUGGAGAACUUUUUCCUGCCACAAGGUACUGAAGGAUGGACAGGUGACUAACUUGACAUGGGCUGGAAUUCAAACAGCGCAGUCGGUGGACUUAAUGAACGCACACGCACUGGAUUCAGGAGCAAGAGCAGAAGGAAGCCGCAUUAGGACUGCCGGAGCCCAAACUCUCCCUCUUCCCCAUGGAGUUAAUGUCAUGGAAAUCAUGCAGUCCGUCCAAAAGAAAAUAUCCUACAUAUUAUGUGAUAAGCCACAGGGGAAACCAAGGAAAUUUGGGGGCUGUUGGAAUCAGAGAUACUAAACAGAAUUUAGAAACUGAGGCUCAGAAGUGUUAAGUACCUUCCCCACUAUCAGACUGCAAAUUCAAGCCCAUCUGGUUCAGAAGCCCGGAGAAGACUAUCUCCCCACCUCUAAGAAAAACAGGGGAAUACGCUAGACCCCUACAUACAGAAGAGUAUUAUUAACGGAAUCUACAUGGAAUUAAUAAAGGCUGCUUUUUCAAAAAAAUCUGGUCAAAAGACCACUGUAAAGAGAAAAGAAGCCUGAUGUUAAAGAUCAAGUAUCCUCGCAAUUCGUUAUUUAAAUUUUGCAGGCUUUGACAAGGCUUUUCACUAUUUACUGGAAAUGCUUUCUCACCUCUUGACGCCUGUGAAAUUGCUCUUGUCUCAUUUUCCUCAGAACUUCCUGACCCCUCGUCCUUCAGUCUCCUCUCUUUUGCUGCCCCUCGAAGUAAAGGUACUUCCUAGGACUUUGCACUCAGCAUUUUUACUCUUCUCGCUCUCCUGGGUGGUCUCGCCACCUCCACGGCUGCAGGCACCCCCAAAUGCCGGUCUUCCGUUCCCGCUGAGCCCCGCAGCUGCACACGCACCUGCCCCGCUGUCUAUGGCAGAGGUGGGCAGAGCUCCGCUCAGUGUCUCGUCACCCGUCACGUCCAUACUUCCGACAAGCUCACCUCCUGCUUUCCAAGCUGCUUCCCCUCCUGCGGGGAACAGUCAACAGACACAGCCCCGAGUCAUCUCCCCAAGUUAGAGAUCAGAGAACUCAUCUUGAAUUCUAACCACACUUCCUUUCUCCUCACCCAUAAAGAUACCAACCCAUAAGUUAAUUCUUUUUUUUUUUUUUUUUUAAGAUUUUAUUCCUUGUCAGAGAGAGAGAGAGAGUGAACAAGCAGGGGGAGCAGCAGAGGGAGAGGGAGAAGCAGGCUCCCUGCUGAGCAGGGCGCCCCGUGUGGGGCUAGAUUCCAGGACCCUGGGAUCAUGACCUGAGCCGAAGAAAGACAUUUAACCAACUGAGCCCCCAGGUGUCCCCAACACAUCACUAAGUUCUGUCAACAGUUCUGUAUUCUUGGAUCUUUUCUCCCUCCUCAGGGCGUCUACUUUUCUUCAAGCCUGUACCAUACUAAACUGUAUGACUUCAAGAUUCCACUGACUUGCCUUUUCCUGCCGCGUCCCCUUCCAAUUCAUUCUCCUUCCCACAACCAGCCUAUUCUUUGUAAAAUAUAAAUCUGAUCCUGUAUGUCACUGUUGUGUUUUAUGUCACUGAUGGGCCCUCUUUUCAUUCAGAAGAGUCUCCUUCCAGCAGCAACAAGGUCCUCCGUGGGUCCACAGCCCGUCCCCUCUCCUUCUCCCCUUCCCCUCGCACUGGGUGCUAGAGCCAGCCAGACCGAACCCUCUUCAGGGGCUCAAAUACACCUGGCUCUCCCACACCUUAGGGCCGCAUCCUGUGCUGCUCCCAGCUGGCUGGCCUCCCUUUCCUUCUUCCUUCUCAAAUGACUCAACAAGAGCCUUAACAGCCAGAUCUGCGGACACCUCACCUGGGAUGCCAGGCCAUGUCUGGCACUGUUCCCACGGCCAUCUCUGCCCCAGCUCUCUGUUCCUCUGUCCGAGCACUUUGCCUCAUUGCCACUGGACUAACGGACUCGUCUGUCUUUUCCACUGGGCUAUCAGCUCCUUGAGGGCAGCAACUGUCCCUACAGGCUCUCCUACCCUUGCUCCUAGCACAGGGUCUUAAAUGCACUUGCCCUUGAUAAACAGGUCUAAUGAAUACAUAGUUACAUUCAUUAUCUAAUCUAGUGAAUGGAUGGAAAAAUUCAUUACAUAAUAUGACUUCAGCCUUUGCUGUAUCACUCACUGUCAUAUGAUUAAUGAAUAAAUUGCCCAGAAGUGUCUUGCCCUAUUUUCUUCAAAACAGUGCAAGUAAAUUAGAGAAAAAGAUAAAUGGUGAUUCUCUUCACUUUCUUUCUUUUUUUUUUUUUUUAAAGAUUUUUUUUAUUUAUUUGACAGAGAGAGAGAUC